UUCACUUCCACUCUUUAAAGAUUGUGUUCAUAUCAUAGUCGUUCACUGUGUCAUUCCACUGUUAUACUGUUUCCAAACAAGUUGAUAAUAACUUGGUUUCCUCUGGUAUGAGCAGACAAGUGUACAAACAAAAACACAGAUAUGUUCUGAAAGCCUUUCUUGAAUCUCCGUUAUACAGAUGUGCAGAUCAGUUACAGCUCUUCUCUUAAAAUAAACCAAGAAACUAUCAAAAAUAUUAUACAAACCCCAAAGAGCUUAUUCUGGAAUCAAGACAAUGAAUCUUAUUGCAGA
rnacentral:lncRNA from 1 species